AGCGGUUGAAGCUUUCAAUGGGAGGACCAAGAGGAAUGAGGAAGCCAGGCACAACAUAACAUGGAGUUCCGACAGUACCCAAGCAAGCUGGUGUGCUGUGGAGACACCUGGUCCUCUGUGCUGCAAACAGACUCUGCUGCAUGCUACUGCCUGCCUGCCUACUGUGAGCUGAGGUGUGCCUGCUGUUCUGCUGUAAGUUGCUUCUGUCAGGUACUGUGGUCACAGAGACAGAAUAACCAAUACAGAGUGUUUGGGUUGAAACAUGCAAGAAGCUGGAAGGUAUACCUCUGCCUUCGUUCUCCAGUGUCCCAUGGAAU
rnacentral:lncRNA from 1 species